AUUGAACGCUGGCGGCAGGCCUAACACAUGCAAGUCGAGCGGCAGCGGAAAGUAGCUUGCUACUUUGCCGGCGAGCGGCGGACGGGUGAGGAAUGUCUGGGGAUCUGCCUGAUGGAGGGGGAUAACUACUGGAAACGGUAGCUAAUACCGCAUAACGUCGCAAGACCAAAGCGGGGGACCUUCGGGCCUCGCGCCAUCAGAUGAACCCAGAUGGGAUUAGCUAGUAGGUGGGGUAAUGGCUCACCUAGGCGACGAUCCCUAGCUGGUCUGAGAGGAUGACCAGCCACACUGGAACUGAGACACGGUCCAGACUCCUACGGGAGGCAGCAGUGGGGAAUAUUGCACAAUGGGCGCAAGCCUGAUGCAGCCAUGCCGCGUGUAUGAAGAAGGCCUUCGGGUUGUAAAGUACUUUCAGCGAGGAGGAAGGCGGUAAGGUUAAUAACCUUACUGAUUGACGUUACUCGAAGAAGAAGCACCGGCUAACUCCGUG
rnacentral:rRNA from 1 species